UUAAUAUCUACUUUGGAUAUGUUGAAACUAGAAAAUUAAUAUUUAAACGGGACAAACUAAUGCAACAAGGUGGGUCCUUUUUUAUUUUUUUUAUUUUCUUAUUUUUGUAGUAAAGGGAAUUGCCCCUUUUCAACAAAAUUUAUUUUAACGGUAUAGCCGGGCGGCUAUACUUCGAAUUUUUUUCUUCAACAGUUAUAGCCGGGCGGCUAUACUUAUUGUCUGCCACGUGGCGCGUUAGCCAAAGAGGGUCAUCCUUUUUUUAAAAAAAUAAUAAAAAUAGUACAGCCGCACGGCUAUACUCCGUGUUUUUUAAUUUAUUUAAAAAUAAAAUUGAGUUGACACGUGGCGAAAAAUAGAUGGAGGUCCCCUCUUUUUUUUAUAUUGAAAAUAAUAUAGCCGCGCGGCUAUACUCAUUUUUUAAAAUUCUUUUUAACCGAUCAGAUUUGUAUGGCCGGGCGGCUAUACUUAUUGUUUGACACGUGGCGCGCUAGAGGGUCAUCCGUUUUUAAAAAAAUUAAUAAAAAUAGUACAGCCGAACGGCUAUACUCUUUGUUUUUUAAUUUAUUUUAAAAAUAAAACUCUGUUGACACGUGGCGACAAAUAGACGGAGGUUUCCUCUUUUUUUAUAUUAAAAAUAGUAUAGCCGCGCGGCUAUACUCAUUAUUUUAAAUUCUUUUUAACCGAUCAGUUAUGUUAUUUAGUAUAUAGUAUAGCCGUGCGGCUAGACUCGAUUUUUGUCUAGUUUCUUUUAAAAAUAGUACAGCCGGGAGGUUUUACUGUUUUUUUUAUGUAAAAAAAUUGUCUUUAAUAAAUAGUAUAGACGAGCGGCGAUGGUCUUUUACAUAUACACACACACAUAUAUAUAUAUAUAUAUAUAUAUAUAUAUUUACGUACGUACGUAUUUUUUAAUAAUACAUUCGUGUUCUAUACACGUCUCACUUUUUUUAAAAGCAAACAUACAAUAGUCGUAUUGUACUUGUGCGUACGUAUUUGUAAUAUUUUAUACACGUAUUGUUUUCAAAAUUUCCAACAAGACGCACAAAAUUCGCUUAUCAUACAAAUAAUUCUCACAUAUUAAUGAAUAAGAAUAACAUAUGUUAUAAAACUUACAUGUAAAUAUCAUAUAGUGGAAGAUUAAUAUCUACUUUGGAUAUGUUGAAACUAGAAAAUUAAUAUUUAAACGGGACAAACUAAUGCAACAAGGUGGGUCCUUUUUUAUUUUUUUUAUUUUCUUAUUUUCUUAUUUUUGUAGUAAAGGGAAUUGCCCCUUUUAAACAAAAUUUAUUUUAAAGGUAUAGCCGGGCGGCUAUACUUCGAAUUUUUUUCUUCAACAAGUAUAGCUAUACUUAUUGUCUGACACGUGGCGCGUUAGCCAAAGAGGGUCAUCCUUUUUUAAAAAAAAUAAUAAAAAUAGUACAGCCGAACGGCUAUACUCCGUGUUUUUUAAUUUAUUUAAAAAUAAAACUGAGUUGACACGUGGCGAAAAAUAGAUGGAGGUCCCCUCUUUUUUUUAUAUUGAAAAUAAUAUAGCCGCGCGGCUAUACUCAUUUUUUUAAAUUCUUUUUAACCGAUCAGUUUUGUAUGGCCGGGCGGCUAUACUUAUUGUUUGACACGUGGCGCGCUAGAGGGUCAUCCUUUUUUAAAAAAAUUAAUAAAAAUAGUACAGCCGAACGGCUAUACUCUUUGUUUUUUAAUUUAUUUUAAAAAUAAAACUGUGUUGACACGUGGCGACAAAUAGACGGAGGUUCCCUCUUUUUUUAUAUUAAAAAUAGUAUAGCCGCUUGGCUAUACUCCUUAUUUUAAAUUCUUUUUAACCGAUCAGUUAUGUUAUUUAGUAUAUAGUAUAGCCGUGCGGCUAGACUCGAUUUUUGUCUAGUUUCUUUUAAAAAUAGUACAGCCGGGAGGUUUUACUGUUUUUUUUAUAUAAAAAAAUUAUCUUUAAUAAAUAGUAUAGACGAGCGGCGAUGGUCUUUUACAUAUACACACACACAUAUAUAUAUAUAUAUAUUUACGUACGUACGUAUUUUUUAAUAAUAGAUUCGUGUUCUAUACUCAUCUCACUUUUUUUAAAAGCAAACAUACAAUAGUCGUAUUGUACUUGUGCGUACGUAUUUGUAAUAUUUUAUACACGUAUUGUUUUCAAAAUUUCCAACAAGACGCACAAAAUUCGCUUAUCAUACAAAUAAUUCUCACAUAUUAAUGAAUAAGAAUAACAUAUGUUAUAAAACUUACAUGAAAAUAUCAUAUAGUGGAAGAUUAAUAUCUACUUUGGAUAUGUUGAAACUAGAAAAUUAAUAUUUAAACGGGACAAACUAAUGCAACAAGGUGGGUCCUUUUUUAUUUUUUUUAUUUUCUUAUUUUUGUAGUAAAGGGAAUUGCCCCUUUUAAACAAAAUUUAUUUUAAAGGUAUAGCCGGGCGGCUAUACUUCGAAUUUUUUUCUUCUACAGGUAUAGCUAUACUUAUUGUCUGACACGUGGCGCGUUAGCCAAAGAGGGUCAUCAUUUUUUAAAAAAAAUAAUAAAAAUAGUACAGCCGCACGGCUAUACUCCGUGUUUUUUAAUUUAUUUAAAAAUAAAACUGAGUUGACACGUGGCGAAAAAUAGAUGGAGGUCCCCUCUUUUUUUUAUAUUGAAAAUAAUAUAGGCGCGCGGCUAUACUCAUUUUUUUAAAUUCUUUUUAACCGAUCAGUUUUGUAUGGCCGGGCGGCUAUACUUAUUGUUUGACACGUGGCGCGCUAGAGGGUCAUCCUUUUUUAAAAAAAUUAAUAAAAAUAGUACAGCCGAACGGCUAUACUCUUUGUUUUUUAAUUUAUUUUAAAAAUAAAACUCUGUUGACACGUGGCGACAAAUAGACGGAGGUUUCCUCUUUUUUUAUAUUAAAAAUAGUAUAGCCGCGCGGCUAUACUCAUUAUUUUAAAUUCUUUUUAACCGAUCAGUUAUGUUAUUUAGUAUAUAGUAUAGCCGUGCGGCUAGACUCGAUUUUUGUCUAGUUUCUUUUAAAAAUAGUACAGCCGGGAGGUUUUACUGUUUUUUUUAUAUAAAAACAUUGUCUUUAAUAAAUAGUAUAGACGAGCGGCGAUGGUCUUUUACAUAUACACACACACACAUAUAUAUAUAUAUAUAUAUUUACGUACGUACGUAUUUUUUAAUAAUAGAUUCGUGUUCUAUACACGUCUCACUUUUUUUAAAAGCAAACAUACAAUAGUCGUAUUGUACUUGUGCGUACGUAUUUUUAAUAUUUUAUACACGUAUUGUUUUCAAAAUUUCCAACAAUACGCACAAAAUUCGCUUAUCAUACAAAUAAUUCUCAUAUAUUAAUGAAUAAGAAUAACAUAUGUUAUAAAACUUACAUGAAAAUAUCAUAUAGUGGAAGAUUAAUAUCUACUUUGGAUAUGUUGAAACUAGAAAAUUAAUAUUUAAACGGGACAAACUAAUGCAACAAGGUGGGUCCUUUUUUAUUUUUUUUAUUUUCUUAUUUUUGUAGUAAAGGGAAUUGCCCCUUUUAAACAAAAUUUAUUUUAAAGGUAUAGCCGGGCGGCUAUACUUCGAAUUUUUUUCUUCAACAGGUAUAGCUAUACUUAUUGUCUGACACGUGGCGCGUUAGCCAAAGAGGGUCAUCCUUUUUUAAAAAAAUUAAUAAAAAUAGUACAGCCGAACGGCUCUACCCCGUGUUUUUUAAUUUAUUUUAAAAAUAAAACUGUGUUGACACGUGGCGAAAAAUAGAUGGAGGUUU
rnacentral:lncRNA from 1 species